GACGAACGCUGGCGGCGUGCUUAACACAUGCAAGUCGAACGCUGAAGCUCAGCUUUUGUUGGGUGGAUGAGUGGCGAACGGGUGAGUAACACGUGAGUAACCUGCCUCCUUCUUUGGGAUAACGCCCGGAAACGGGUGCUAAUACUGGAUAUUCACUGGUCUUCGCAUGGGGGUUGGUGGAAAGGGUUUUUCUGGUGGGGGAUGGACUCGCGGCCUAUCAGCUUGUUGGUGGGGUGAUGGCCUACCAAGGCUUUGACGGGUAGCCGGCCUGAGAGGGUGACCGGUCACAUUGGGACUGAGAUACGGCCCAGACUCCUACGGGAGGCAGCAGUGGGGAAUAUUGCACAAUGGGCGCAAGCCUGAUGCAGCGACGCCGCGUGAGGGAUGGAGGCCUUCGGGUUGUGAACCUCUUUCGCUCAUGGUCAAGCCGCAACAAUGGUUGUGGUGAGGGUAGUGGGUAAAGAAGCGCCGGCUAACUACGUG
rnacentral:rRNA from 1 species